GAGGAGUCUUGAGGAUAUUGUGGAAGGUCGAAUGUUGGAGGAGUCCGACUGUAGAAGUUCAGACGAAGACCAGUUGUCGUGGAAGUUUAGAUGGAGACUUCUUAUUAUAGAAGCUCGGACGAAGAUUGGCUGCCGUAAAAGCUCAGAUGGAGACUUCUUAUUGUAGAAGUCUCGCUGCUAGAGAAGCUCGAUCAUUGACGAAGUUCGAAAGAAGUUUGGAGUAGAGAUCCAACUGGUGGAGUCCGUCCGUUGUGAGAGUUCGUCUGGAAUCCAGCCGCUAUAGAAGUUCGACUGGGAUCCGACUCUUGUUGGAGCUCGGAUGAAAUUCGAAAGGUGGUCCACCAUCGUAGAAACUUAGAUGGAGUCUGAUUACUAUAGAAGUCCUGCUAUUGGAGAAGCUCGGACAUUGAUGAAGUUUGAAAGAAAUUUGGAGUAAAAUCGUUCGUGGUCAGAAGAAGUCUGGAAGAGAUUCGGAGAAUAGUCGAUCAUUACAAAAAAUUGGCUGAUAGUGAAGCUCAGAGAGCAUUUGGAGCAGUCUGGUUGAUGAAUGGAGGAGCCCAUUAUUGGAGAAGUUCGGAUGGUAUUAUGGAAGCUCGGACGGUCGGGGG
rnacentral:lncRNA from 1 species